UCUUAGAAGCCCAAGCACAGAGUUCGGAGAAAUGUGAGCACCUGUAUGAAGAGAAGAUGGGUACAAAGGAAUGAGUGGGGGUUCCUCUUCACCAUCCCUAAAACUGUGGCAGUAUUUAGCAGCAUCAUUGAUGAGGCUGGUCUCAGAACUGUGCAAACAUCUGCCCUGCCUGGCCUCUCAAUGAAAAAGCUUCUACCUCUUAACAGGUAUUUCCACCAACUCGCUGGCCACCUCCCUGUUACAGGGUAAGUCGUACUUCUUUGUCCUUUUCUGGAAAUCACGAAUGUGAAUGUCAUUUGCAGCAUGCAUUCGUGCAGUGGAUGGAAGUUCUCCAGGGACCAGGCUUUCUUCAAGGCAAUGGGGAGCCACGGAAAUCUUUGAAGCAGAGGAGUGUCCUAUUCAGAACUCUUCUAUUAAAUGAUUAUUGUGCAGCAGGGUGGAAGCUGGAUUAACAGGAGAAACACUGGAGACAAGGAAAUUCAAUUUAAAGUCUACUGCAAGAGGGCCUUGACACCAACAUGACCCUGACCGACAUUUUCCUUUUUCGUCAUGGCUGUACUUUUCCAU
rnacentral:lncRNA from 1 species